AAAUGCGAUACGAUACUAUACGAUACGAAUAGUGAUUCACCGACUGCGUCGCGAACCGAAAGGUACUUAUUGCAGCUGCUGGCCACUGCACAAGAUUAGACUUAAGACUCUUGUGCGUGUGACAGCGGCUAUUGUAAGAGGCCAUAGAAGCAACAGAACCAGCCAGCAGCCAGCCAUCCAAUAAUCGGGGGUCCAUCGUUCAAAAGAAGAAGCCCUAGAGGCCUAAUGCAAUUAUUACCAAUGUUUGCCACACGCAAAUAGAAUCAAGCCAUCAACUAAGAGACACUCAAACCAGGUGUUCCAGUAAUCUAUAUCAACUCAAUUUGAGAAAAUGUACAUCAUAACAUCCAUAAGAACACCGUACAUUUUUGGAAAAGCAAAGUACUUUCUGGGUGGAUCUCAACCAACCAUAUCCGGAAGUUCCCUAACAAUUUGGGAGUUUCGCGGAAACAACUGGAAAACAACGAUAUAAAGGAUAGUUGAUAGUGAAAACACAUUUUUGGGCGAACAAGUUUAGAUAUACAACGGAUUGUCAUAUAAAUUAUAGUUAACUUUUUCUGUUUCUAAACCAGCAGAACUCGAAAUUCUUAUUUAGUUUUACUCAUCAACUCUUAGAUUUAAUAAAAGUAAUAGGUUCUGCAUCUCAGUUGCGUUCAAUGAAAUUCUCAAUGGGCUGGCA